rnacentral:lncRNA from 1 species
ACACAUUUUCAUAUGUUCAGAGUUUUAAGAACAACACUACCACAAGAGUCUUCCUCUUUCUCUUUCCCUGUGUGGCCUCAUUUGGGUGUCUCUGGGAUACGUGCCUGAAUACAUGCUUAAAGCACGUUGGGAAUGCGGAUCUGUUGUGAAGGGCUGGAUUGCUGCUUCCUUCUCCGUUAGCACACUGCCCACGAACGAUGAUAUGGAGCUGGGUGCUGUGAUUUGGGCAUGUUUAACAUGGCUAACAAUGAAGUUAAAUAUCCGUCAUUAACAACACAUUUCUUUUUUCUAGUACUGUGGAAGGUUUGCUGCAGUAAGGAUGUUUCUGAGACACUGUGUGUCGGCACAGACUCCACGGAUGCCCCCAAGAUGAAAGAGAGCUCUGGAAUGGGUGUCUGUAGUUCUCCAGGAGAUAAGGCAAAGCAGAGCAGAACAGUGGCUUGAUCAGGAAAUAGGUCUGACUUCAUGGGAAUGAGCACGAUUUUGAGGAGAGAAAUGUGGUAAUUAUUAAUUAUACAUUAUAGCCUUCUUAGUGCAUCAUUUCAUCUAGAUACCUGGAAUAUGUUACUUGGAUUGGAUGGUAGGAUUUUAUUUUAGGAUUUCUUUUCCAUUUCAAAAAAUGUGAUAUUUGUAUACACUAUCUAUAGAGAUAUGCUUAAAGGUGUUUUGUGAUGUGACAUCUAAUUUUUAACACUGAGGAUUUGUCUACUAAUGAUUUAGGAAAUAUUAUUUACUUUUAUUUAAGGGCAGCUGAGAAGAUUCGUUUGAUUGGAUUACAGAAAGUGAUAGCAGUAGAUAAAACCCAAUCCCCAAUAUUUAAUAUACCAGUCACAAAAAAAAAAAAAAAAAAAAAAAAAGAUAACUGAUACAGCAGGAUGCAGUAAUAGUAAGGCAACUGGUUGGCUAUUUAAAUGGUUGAAAUAAAGGAGGAGGAGCAAAUAGAGCCCA